rnacentral:rRNA from 1 species
GAUGAACGCUGGCGGCGUGCCUAACACAUGCAAGUCGAGCGUGAACCCUUAGAAUGAAACUUCGGUCGAAUGAAGAGGGGGAAAGCGGCGGACGGGUGAGUAACGCGUAGGCAACCUGCCCCGUACAGAGGGAUAGCCUCGGGAAACCGGGAUUAAAACCUCAUAAUACCAUGGUAUCACAUGAUGCAAUGGUCAAAGAUUUAUCGGUAUGGGAUGGGCCUGCGUCUGAUUAGCUGGUUGGUGGGGUAACGGCCUACCAAGGCAACGAUCAGUAGCCGACCUGAGAGGGUAAUCGGCCACAUUGGAACUGAGACACGGUCCAAACUCCUACGGGAGGCAGCAGUGGGGAAUAUUGCACAAUGGGCGAAAGCCUGAUGCAGCAACGCCGCGUGAGCGAAGAAGGCCUUUGGGUCGUAAAGCUCUGUCGGGAAGGAAGAGUAAUGACGGUACUUCCCGAGGGAACGCCCCGGCUAACUACGUGCCAGCAGCCGGGUAAUAGUGUGUGUA